UCUAGAUAAGAGGGCACCUCAUCGCGGAGUGGGGGGAAUGGUACAAAAUGUCACAAGAGAACAGCACCAUCACAGAGAAUAUACGGACACAACUACAGCAUCUGCACAGAGUCUUUUCCAACUGAGAGCGAAAACUGGAUUAAAUCUAUUUUUGGACCUUUGACAUGAUUUUGAUGAUGCCGGAUUUAUCAUGGAAAAAAGUCUUGGCAUAACCAGCAGGAUCAGAUGACACAGGCGGACUCCUCACCGGCCGCAGCAUUGUGUAACACCAGCCAGUGCUGUGUUUAUCGUCCUGGAUUGUCGGGGGAGACGUCCUGUCCUGUCCUGUACUGGAUCGGCACAAAAGGCCAAGAGAAAGAAUGCCGUGUGCCUUCAGGAAUAUUAAGAUAAUAAUGAUAAUUUGGGGCCAAAUCAAAAGAGAGUAAAAGACGUAAAAAUGCAACUAUAGUUGGGCGUGUCUCUCUCUCACCGCAACCCCCUCUGUGAAUAAGUGUCAAGGCAAAGUGUUUCAUGGUCAGAGGAGGUGUAGAAGGGGUUUGUGUGCAAGAUGGACAGUAAGGUAGUUGGGCUGAGAAGCGCUGAGAGUGUAAAUCAGAUGUUUGAACCUGACAGGGGGGUAAAAGGAAGAAUAAAAGCGUGUCACAGAGAAACUGCUGGUGAGAGAGUAGAUGAGAGAUGCCCAAAUGUUUUGUCAAACCUAUAGAAACCUGCUGUAAUUUCACAUACUUGAUGUUGUUGGUAAAAAUACAGCUUCGGAAAUCAGGGAAAAUGCAAACAGAAGGCUGCACAGAAACUGAACUAGACAACAGCGUUAUUCCAGACGUGUAGGUUCAAAGAUUUUCUUAUUAUUGUUUAAAAUGGAACUGAGAGAAGUGGAAAGUGGUACAUCUUGUUCAGAAUUCAAAAAAUCCGCCCACUUGCAGAAGCAUGUCCAUGAGUUAUGAAUAUGUAGUGUUGUUUACUACGGUACAGAACAUUCUCUACUCUAGAGCCACGCCCCGGAAGAGCUCAAACACUCAGCCAAGAUGCACCACAUCACCACCACCCUCUCUCCUUUCACUCCCCGUUCCUCUUGUUUACAGGACACAGCUGAGGGAUUAACACCUCACAUCAGACCUGUCAAGUCUCACUCAUCUUAUCUAUGUUUUCUUAGGUUUCAACGUGUCCACAGCAACACGGCUCUACCAGUCACGGACGACGGCACCAGAGCUCUUAGCCAGACUAAAGCAACAAAACAGAAAAAUUUUAGACAUUACACUACAGCAUGUGGCCUUCAAAUCCAGCUCUGAUAAACAAAAGUUAAACUGGAUUUGCAUGAAAUUCCCACCGACUGCAGAAAAGCCUCAGCCCUGCCACAUUAAGAUAAAAACCUGUUGCUAGUGGCAACAGCACAGAGAUACAGUAGUUCACGAUGACACUGCUGUCACUGUGGACAUGAUAAAUAUCACUAAGUCUCUUCAAAGCCAUUACGACAAAGUUCCUUUGGGUUUUUUGAUGCUGCCAGGUAAAAAAAACAAAAAAACACUGCAGCUAAAAUCAUGGUUAUUUUCAUGUAUUACAUAGUAUUCUUCUUACUUGACAACUUUUUCACCUUUUUUCUGCCAUCAUUAUUUUUAAUUUCAAGUCUAGGUUUCAGUGCCGUGAGAGAACUUUACUGUAACGCCUUUAAGUCCCUCACACAGGCCUCACGCAGAAAAAUGUUCCAUGUGGAGGUCAAAAUGUUUGAUCAGGUUUUUCUUUACGAUACACAAAUGUCUAUUGCUGUACAUAUGUGUUUCUAAUUAGAAUUGGUUCUAUUCUAUUGAGUCUGAAACUGUAAACACGGCACUUACAGCAGACAUUAGGCAAGUUUCUGUGCCUGAUACUGGUGACCCACAUUAUGCCAGAUCACUUAAAUACACUGUGACCCCAGUUUUGUCUCUGUUAUGACCCCUAGUAACAAGACCCAAAACCCAAAUGUGAACAGAAACAACUCCCUCACCCCCCUCUCUUUUUCUCUGAAGUCCCACAAAAAGAUAUAACUUCAUCAAAUGAAUUAGGAAUUGAAAAUGUUAAUCUGUGUGUGUGCUGAUUGUAUUUUAAACGUGUAUGAUGUGACAGCGAGGGGAAAAAAAAGAGGUCUGACUUUAUAUAUACACAUAUGUAUUAGGGGAAAAUAAAGGCUUUGCCUGGUGUACUAAUCGAGCACUAACGUCAGCUUAGCUACUGUAGCCAGGCAGCAGUUCAAGCUGUGGAAGCAGCUGUGUCUCAGCAGCACAACAGAGCCUGGAUCUCAUAUCUUGCACCAACAUGACGCCCAGCCUGCUUCAAUGCACAGCCAUAGGCCCACACUGCUGAUUCAGGAUCUCUCUCCAGUGAGACUGUACGAACACACAACAACCUCUGACUACUUGAAUCAAUUCUGACCAGAAUGGCAUCAAGAAGAAAAACAUUUUUAAAACAAAGAAGGUCAGAAACAUCACGAAUGAGGAGAUUCAGAUCUGACAGCGACACAGACUUGCCUGGAAGAAGUUGCCCUCCAACUGAACCUAAUCAAUGUCAUGUUCAUUAGGAAAAUGGAAAGAAACUGUGUAGUAAGCAUUACUGAUGGAAAGCUGUUUGAGAUUUAUUUCUUGUCUUUGUCCUUGUGUGUUUGUCAUUAAAAAGCUUAAAUGAUUAAAUUGGUCUUAGCACGGUCAGGCCAAACUGAAAACAACAGUCUUUUUGUGCCCUCGCUAAUCUUCCUCUGUGUCGUAAGUCCUUCGUGAGAACUUUUCUUUCUUUGCAGACAUGCUCUGUGUUAUGUUGUGUGUUCUGCUUCACUGUACGUGUCACUAAAAUGCAGACAGGACCUUGGACAGAAAGGUACUGGAAUAAAAAAAACGCUUGAUUGUGUGUCUAUUUGAUGUGUCUGGA